rnacentral:rRNA from 1 species
UACAGAGGUCUCAACCGUUGUUCGGAUUCAUUGGGCGUAAAGGGUGCGUAGGCGGUCGUGCAAGUCGGAUGUGAAAUCUCAGGGCUCAACCCUGAAACUGCAUUCGAUACUGCGUGGCUAGAGUGCUGGAGAGGAGACUGGAAUUUACGGUGUAGCAGUGAAAUGCGUGGAUAUCGUAAGGAAGACCAGUGGCGAAGGCGAGUCUCUGGACAGCAACUGACGCUGAGGCACGAAGGCCAGGGGAGCAAACGGG